UGGGGAAUAUUGCACAAUGGGCGCAAGACUGAUGCAGCCAUGCCGCGUGUAUGAAGAAGGUCUUCGGGUUGUAAAGUACUUUCAGCGGGGAGGAAGGGAGUAAAGUUAAUACCUUUGCUCAUUGACGUUACCCGCAGAAGAAGCACCGGCUAACUCCGUGCCAGCAGCCGCGGUAAUACGGAGGGUGCAAGCGUUAAUCGGAAUUACUGGGCGUAAAGCGCACGCAGGCGGUUUGUUAAGUCAGAUGUGAAAUCCCCGGGCUCAACCUGGGAACUGCAUCUGUUACUGGCAAGCUUGAGUCUCGUAGAGGGGGGUAGAAUUCCAGGUGUAGCGGUGAAAUGCGUAGAGGUCUGGAGGAAUACCGGUGGCGAAGGCGGCCCCCUGGACGAAGACUGACGCUCAGGUGCGAAAGCGUGGGGAGCAAACAGG
rnacentral:rRNA from 1 species